rnacentral:rRNA from 1 species
ACUCGAGUGGCGAACGGGUGAGUAACACGUGGGUGAUCUGCCUUGCACUCUGGGAUAAGCUUGGGAAACUGGGUCUAAUACCGGAUAGGAACCGUCUUUAGUGUGGUGGUUGGAAAGUUUUUCGGUGCAAGAUGAGCUCGCGGCCUAUCAGCUUGUUGGUGGGGUAAUGGCCUACCAAGGCGUCGACGGGUAGCCGGCCUGAGAGGGUGGACGGCCACAUUGGGACUGAGAUACGGCCCAG